rnacentral:rRNA from 1 species
CGCAGCCGCGGUAAUUCCAGCUCCAAUAGCGUAUAUUAAAGUUGUUGCAGUUAAAAAGCUCGUAGUUGAAUUUCGGGGUCAGUAGGUUGGUCAUGCCACUGGUAUGUACUGGUCUCACUGAUUCCUCCUUCCUGAUGAGCCGUAAUGCCAUUAAUUUGGUGUUGCGAGGAAUCUGGACUGUUACUUUAGAAAAAUUAGAGUGUUUAAAGCAGGCUAACGCUUGAAUACAUUAGCAUGGAAUAAUGAAAUAGGACGUUCGAUCUUAUUUUGUUGGUUUCUAAGAUUGACGUAAUGAUUAAUAGGGAUAGUUGGGGGCAUUAGUAUUCAAUUGUCAGAGGUGAAAUUCUUGGAUUUAUUGAAGACUAACUACUGCGAAAGCAUUUGCCAAGGAUGUUUUCAUUAAUCAAGAACGAAAGUUAGGGGAUCGAAGACGAUCAGAUACCGUCGUAGUCUUAACCAUAAACUAUGCCGACUAGGGAUCGGAUGAUGUUAAUUUUUAAUGUACUCA